rnacentral:rRNA from 1 species
AGGACGAACGCUGGCGGCGUGCUUAACACAUGCAAGUCGAACGAGGUGCUUGCACCUAGUGGCGAACGGGUGAGUAACACGUGAGCAACCUGCCUUUGGCUCUGGGAUAGCCUCCGGAAACGGGGAUUAAUACCGGACAUGACCUGUGACGGCAUCUUCACGGGUGGAAAGUUUUUCGGCCAAAGAGGGGCUCGCGGCCUAUCAGCUUGUUGGAGGGGUAACGGCCCACCAGGGCGACGACGGGUA